UAAAAACCCCGACUUCGGAAGGGGUGUAUUUAUUAGAUACAAAACCAAUGCCCUUCGGGGCUCUUUGGUGAUUCAUGAUAACUAUACGAAUCGCACGGCCUUGCGCCGGCGAUGGUUCAUUCAAAUUUCUUCCCUAUCAACUUUCGAUGUUUGGGUAUUGGCCAAACAUGGUUGCAACGGGUAACGGAGGGUUAGGGCUCGACCCCGGAGAAGGAGCCUGAGAAACGGCUACUACAUCCAAGGAAGGCAGCAGGCGCGCAAAUUACCCAAUCCCGACUCGGGGAGGUAGUGACAAUAAAUACUGAUACAGGGCCCUUUCGGGCCUUGUAAUUGGAAUGAGUACAAUUUAAAUCCCUUAACGAGGAACAAUUGGAGGGCAAGUCUGGUGCCAGCAGCCGCGGUAAUUCCAGCUCCAAUAGCGUAUAUUAAAGUUGUUGUGGUUAAAAAGCUCGUAGUUGAACCUUGGGCCUGGCUGGCCGGUCCGCCUCACCGCGUGCACUGGUCCGGCCGGGCCUUUCCCUCUGUGGAACCCCAUACCCCUCACUGGGCGUGGCGGGGAAACAGGACAUUUACUUU
rnacentral:rRNA from 1 species